GAGUUUGAUUCUGGCUCAGGAUGAACGCUGGCGGCGUGCUUAACACAUGCAAGUCGAACGAAGCGGGAAGGAAGAAGUUUUUCGAAAUGGAUUUUUUCUUUGCUUAGUGGCGGACGGGUGCGUAACACGUAGGUAACCUGCCCUGUGCUUGGGAAUAACUCCGGGAAACCGGUGCUAAUGCCGAAUAAUAUCGCCUGUCGGCAUCGAGAGGCGAUCAAAGAAUUUCGGCACAGGAUGGGCCUGCGCCGGAUUAGCUGGUUGGUGAGGUAACGGCUCACCAAGGCGACGAUCCGUAGCCGACCUGAGAGGGUGAUCGGCCACACUGGAACUGAGACACGGUCCAGACUCCUACGGGAGGCAGCAGUGGGGAAUAUUGCACAAUGGGGGAAACCCUGAUGCAGCAACGCCGCGUGAGCGAUGAAGGCUUUCGAGUCGUAAAGCUCUGUCCUAUGGGAAGA
rnacentral:rRNA from 1 species